rnacentral:rRNA from 1 species
GGGCCUGCACAAGCGGUGGAGCAUGUGGUUAAUUUGAAGCAACGCGCAGAACCUUACCAACGUUUGACAUCCUCAUCGCGAUUUCCAGAGAUGGAUUUCUUCAGUUCGGCUGGAUGAGUGACAGGUGCUGCAUGGCUGUCGUCAGCUCGUGUCGUGAGAUGUUGGGUUAAGUCCCGCAACGAGCGCAACCCUCGCCUUUAGUUGCCAUCAUUUAGUUGGGUACUCUAAAGGAACCGCCGGUGAUAAGCCGGAGGAAGGUGGGGAUGACGUCAAGUCCUCAUGGCCCUUACGCGUUGGGCUACACACGUGCUACAAUGGCGACUACAGUGGGCAGCGACCAUGCGAGUGGAAGCUAAUCUCCAAAAGUCGUCUCAGUUCGGAUUGUUCUCUGCAACUCGAGAGCAUGAAGGCGGAAUCGCUAGUAAUCGCGGAUCAGCAUGCCGCGGUGAAUACGUUCCCAGGCCUUGUACACACCGCCCGUCACACCAUGGGAGUUGGUUUCACCCGAAGGCAGUGCGCUAACCGCAAGGAGGCAGCUGACCACGGUGGGAUCAGCGACUGGGGUGAAGUCGUAACAAGGUAGCCGUAGGGGAACCUGCGACUGGAUCACCUCGUUAAGCUUGGAUCCCGGGAAUCGAUUCCCGCGAC